UUGAAAGGGAAACGAUUGAAGUCAGUCAUAUCAACGGGAAAUCAACCUUUCGAUCAUGGUUUUGGAUUUCAAAAGAGUUGUUAAAACCUUUUGAGGUUUUCAAAGUUAUGUUCUUUUGGUGUACUUUCUCGUAGGUAGGUUAACAUCGAUUUUGAACAUUAUAAAAAGACUGGAGGAAUGUAGCUUCGAUCUCGUAUUGAAGUGUUAUAGCCUUUGGUAAGUGUAAUGGUCAAGAUCGAGGAUUGCAACGAAUACCUUCAUGGGCUAUCCGUCUGAUCUCUGAUACGUGGCCUUGGUAUCGAAAGCUUGCUUAUGGUAUCGAGGUAUUACGGUCAAAAGGUAAGAACGGAUUACAUUCGUUAAGGAUGUUGACGUAAUGACUUUAAACGACCCGUCUUGAAACACGGACCA
rnacentral:rRNA from 1 species